UUUUCAUAUGAUUAUAUGCCUUGCAAAGUUGAUAGUUAAAACUGUAAGACCCCCUUUCGAGGACCCCCACUCUAGUCUCAGGAGAGAGAGCACACCCAAAGAAACAGGAGAAUCC
rnacentral:miRNA from 7 species